UGCGCAGGUGGGGGUGUAAGUCAGUGGUGAAAUGUUGCCGCUUAACGGUAAAAUUGCCAUUGAUACUGCAUCUCUUGAGUAUGGUUGAGGUAGGCGGAAUGUGUUGUGUAGCGGUGAAAUGCAUAGAUAUGACACAGAACACCGAUUGCGAAGGCAGCUUACUAAGCCAUUACUGACGCUGAGGCACGAAAGCGUGGGGAGCGAACAGGAUUAGAUACCCUGGUAGUCC
rnacentral:rRNA from 1 species